GAUGAACGCUGGCGGCGUGCCUAAUACAUGCAAGUCGAGCGAACAGACGAGGAGCUUGCUCCUCUGACGUUAGCGGCGGACGGGUGAGUAACACGUGGAUAACCUACCUAUAAGACUGGGAUAACUUCGGGAAACCGGAGCUAAUACCGGAUAAUAUAUUGAACCGCAUGGUUCAAUAGUGAAAGACGGUUUUGCUGUCACUUAUAGAUGGAUCCGCGCCGCAUUAGCUAGUUGGUAAGGUAACGGCUUACCAAGGCAACGAUGCGUAGCCGACCUGAGAGGGUGAUCGGCCACACUGGAACUGAGACACGGUCCAGCCUCCUACGGGAGGCAGCAGUAGGGAAUCUUCCGCAAUGGGCGAAAGCCUGACGGAGCAACGCCGCGUGAGUGAUGACGGUCUUCGGAUCGUAAAACUCUGUUAUUAGGGAAGAACAAAUGUGUAAGUAACUAUGCACGUCUUGACGGUACCUAAUCAGAAAGCCACGGCUAACUACGUG
rnacentral:rRNA from 1 species